UACAGAGGCCCCGAGCGUUAGGCGGAAUCACUGGGCUUAAAGCGUGUGUAGGUGGAUGCCUAAGUACCUUGUGAAAUCCCACGGCUUAACCGUGGAACUGCUGGGUAUACUGGGUGUCUUGAGCCACUCAGGGGCUACCGGAACAAACGGUGGAGCGGUGAAAUGCGUAGAUAUCGUUUGGAACGCCAAUGGUGAAAACAGGUAGCUGGGGGUGUGCUGACACUGAGACACGAAAGCCAGGGGAGCAAACGGG
rnacentral:rRNA from 1 species